GAGGGAAAUUGUGCAACCCAUGCUAAUGGACAUACGAUGGCCAAGCAAAUCAUGAGACGAGGAUACUUCUGGACUACUAUGGAGAAAGAUUGCAUCGAGUACGUUCGGAAAUGUCAUAAAUGUCAAAUCUAUGCGGACCCGAUAAAUGUUCCACCUCAUCAAUUGUUUAAUCUUGUCUCACCUUAGCCUUUCGCACUGUGGGGUAUUGACGUAAUUGGUCCCAUUAAUCCCAAGGCAUCUAAUGGGCAUAGAUUCAUCUUGGUAGCUAUUGACUAUUUUUCUAAAUGGGUUGAAGCGACGUCAUAUGCCCACAUCACACAGAACACAUUCCUCAAAUUUCUCCGAAAUAAUGUCAUCUGCUGACACGGCCUCCCUGGCGAAAUCGUCACUGACAACGCCAAGAAUUUGAAUGGUCCGAAGGUCCAAAGUUUAUGUGAUCAAUACAAGAUCCGACAUCUCAAUUCUUCACCAUACCGCCCCCAGAUGAAUGGAGCGGUGGAA
rnacentral:misc_RNA from 1 species